rnacentral:rRNA from 1 species
AAGAAACAAAUGACGGUACCUUAGGAGGAAGCCCCGGCUAACUACGUGCCAGCAGCCGCGGUAAUACGUAGGGGGCAAGCGUUAUCCGGAAUCACUGGGCGUAAAGGGUGCGUAGGCGGCUUAGCAAGCCAGGGGUGAAAGGCAUUGGCUCAACCAAUGUUAAGUCCUUUUGGAACUGUUAAGCUUGAGUGCAGGAGAGGUAAGUGGAAUUCCUAGUGUAGAGGUGAAAUUCGUAGAUAUUAGGAGGAACACCAGUGGCGAAGGCGACUUACUGGACUGUAACUGACGCUGAUGCACGAAAGCGUGGGUAGCGAACAGGAUUAGAUACCCUGGUAG